CCUGCCCCUAGAAGCAUUAUAGGUUUGGCUGCUUUGUCACAUGUGCAUCAGUAGAAGACAGAGGAGAGAGGCUAUGUCUACAUUAAGUGUUCUGUUCUAUGAACAUCUUAACGAUUAAUAGCCUAACAUC